rnacentral:lncRNA from 1 species
UCUUUUUCACAAACAACACAGGAGCACCCCAGGGCGAGAAACUCGAUCGUGCAAAUCCUCUUUCAGUUAAUUCUUGUAACUGAGUUUUCAAUUCUUUUAACUCUAUUGGUGUCAUUCUGUAUGAAGCUAUCGAUAUCGGCAUUGUACCUGGUAUUAAUUCGAUGCCAAAUUCAACCUCUCAGAUCUGUGGUAAGCCCGAUAACUUUUAAGGAAACACAUCUGGAUACUCAAACACAACUGAC